rnacentral:misc_RNA from 1 species
GAACGCACAUUGCGCCUCCGGGUAUUCCUGGAGGCAUGCCUGUUCGAGCGUCGUUUAAACCAUAAGGCUUUGCCUUGCGAUGACACUUGGGUUUCCGUAAGGGAGUCCAUAUGUUCAAACAUAUUGGCAUUUGAAGUUGGCCCAACGCAGCAAAAUGUGUGACGUCCUUCGAAAUGAUGCCUGUAUUUCAAAAGAAAUGGAUUUGGAAACAGAAACAUUUUUUUUACAUAGUGGUCGACCGCGGAUCAGGCAAGAUUACCCGCUGAACUUA